UACUACAGAGCUCUUUCUUGACUUCGUCGUCUUCGCCCUUUGUACUGCCUGCUUCUCUCUCUGUCUCUCUCUCUCUCUCUCUCUCUCGCCUCUAAGUAGUACAAGCUACGAAGAUUUAUCAACCCUCUCUCUCUAUAUAUAACAAAGUUAAAAAUGUAGAAAAAUUCCCUACCAUAUCCUUAACCUUGCACUCGCAAUGUCUCGCUUCUUCCUCUUCUUCUCCCUCCUCCUCCUCGUCUUCCUCUCCGCCUCCGCUCACAGCGGCCACGACGAUGGCGACAGCGACGCAAUCGAGCCCGACCUUCGCUCCAGGCCUUUGAUACUGACUAAGAUAUGGUGCUUGAUAAUUAUCUUCAUAGCCACUUUCGUCCCCGGCGUUUCCCCUUACUUCUUCAAGUGGAACGAGGGCUUCUUGAUUCUCGGGACGCAGUUUGCUGGCGGUGUUUUCUUGGGCACGGCGCUGAUGCACUUUCUCAGCGACGCCAACAAGACUUUCGAGCACUUGACUACAAAAGAUUACCCGUUUGCUUACAUGUUGGCUUGCGCCGGCUACUUGUUGACCAUGAUUGCUGAUUGUGUUAUCUCCUACGUGUAUGGCAAGGGAAACGGUGCUGGGUCCGGUGCUGCAGAUCUCGAGCAUCAAGGUGGAGUUGAGCAAGGGAAAAGUAUUAAUAACGGCUUGACUUCACAAGCACAGCAUCAGGUCCAUCAUGGCUCCGUUGCUGCUGUGGAUUCACUUGGUGAUAGCAUUUUGUUGAUUGUCGCCUUGUGUUUCCAUUCUGUCUUUGAGGGUAUUGCGAUUGGAGUUGCCGAUACAAAAGCUAAUGCCUGGAAAGCCUUAUGGACAAUCACUUUGCACAAGAUAUUUGCAGCCAUUGCCAUGGGUAUUGCUCUCCUCCGCAUGAUUCCGAACCGUCCUCUCUUGUCAUGUGCUGCCUAUGCUUUUGCAUUCGCCAUUUCAAGUCCAAUCGGUGUGGCCAUUGGAAUCGUUAUAGAUGCCACAACUCAGGGUGCUGUGGCAGAUUGGAUCUUUGUCAUAUCAAUGGGUCUAGCAUGUGGAGUUUUCAUCUAUGUAUCCAUAAACCACCUACUAGCAAAAGGCUAUAUACCACAGAAGACUGUCACGGCAGACACAUCCUCUCUCAAGUUUUUUGCAGUGUUGUUAGGCAUUGGGGUUAUAGCUGUUGUGAUGAUUUGGGACACCUGAGGUCAAGCCGAAGUGGAUGUGUGUUUGGUUCCUGCUUGAUUGAACUUUGUUGGAAGUCAGCUCUCGUCUCCCAUCACAAAAGAACGCGGAAUUGUAGGCUAGUAAGGGAGGGGGUAAUUUGUUGGCAUCGUUUUGGGACUGAAGUGAAUGGUGGAUUUGUUCCGGUAGGCUUUUCCUUGUAUGUUCACUUUGGGUGUCUCAGAGAUAUGGCAAAAGGCGCCCAUAAUGAGUGUGGAGAGAUUUGGCAGAAGGGCCAAGCAUGGUAGGACAAAAGAAUAUGAAAGAAGGCGGAGAAUCUGAGCAAAUCCGACUGCAAAUGACAAAGAAAUUGGGAGAAUAAUUAAAUAAUAUACUUCGGCCGAGGAAAGCAAGGGCAUCAACCAUUGGAAGAUAAUUUCUCGUGCAGAGAAACUCUUGGGAGAGAAGAGGGGUCUGUUUCUGUUUUUUAACAUGCCAUGUACAAAGACAUCUCUCUAAAAUACAUUUAUCUGUGUAUCUGUUUCGGAUAAUUAUUUAUAGUCAAUCAUUACUGGAUGCAUGGAGUUGUUAGCAGUAAAAUCAACUUGGCCAAGAGUCCUAAAAGUCUUUUGAAAUAAAAGUAGUUUGUUAAUAAGAGAA